UCCUGCCCAGUGACAUAAUUCAACGGCCGCGGUAUCCUAACCGUGCAAAGGUAGCAUAAUCACUUGCCCAUUAAUUGUGGGCUAGAAUGAACGGAUAAACGAAAUAAAAACUGUCUCUAUAAGCUUUAUAAAAAUUAAUCUCUAACUGAAGAGUGUUAGAUACCAUCGAAGGACAAGAAGACCCUAUAGAGCUUUAUUUUUAACAAGGUUAAUAACUUAUAGUAAAUUCGGUUGGGGCGACCUAGGACAUAUAAAACAUCCUACACAUUAAAGAUAAAUAAAUCUAAAAAGACCCUUAAUAAAGAGCAAUAAAACAAGCUACCUUAGGGAUAACAGGCUAAUCCUGCUAAAGAGUUCUUAUCAACAGCAGGGGUUGGCACCUCGAUGUUGGCUUAGGGAAACUAUGUGGCGCAAAAGUCACAUAAAGAUGGUUUGUUCAACCAAUAAAACCCUACAUGAGCUGAGUUCAGACCGGCGCAAGCCAGGUUAGUUUCUAUCCUCGAUAAAACAUCUAUCUAUAGUACGAAAGGACCUAGAUAAGAGUAAUCAUUAUAUAUAAAGAAUAAAUAUAAAAAUUAAAUAAAUAAUAAAUAAUAUAUACUAUACAGUGAGUUGGCAGAAUAGUGCAAUCGACUUAGGAUCGAUAUAUGGGCUAGCCCACCCACUACCUGCAACUUAGUUUAUUUAGAACAAUCAACUUGCACUUGAUAAGAGAGAUUUCUCAGUAGCGGCUUGACGUUUUGGAAACAAUAGACCUUGAACGUCUAUCAAGGAUGUUCAACUCAUC
rnacentral:rRNA from 1 species